rnacentral:rRNA from 1 species
GAUGAACGCUGGCGGCGUGCCUAAUACAUGCAAGUCGAGCGAACGGACGAGAAGCUUGCUUUUCUGAUGUUAGCGGCGGACGGGUGAGUAACACGUGGAUAACCUACCUAUAAGACUGGGAUAAAUUCGGGAAACCGGAGCUAAUACCGGAUAAUAUUUUGAACCGCAUGGUUCAAAGGUAAAAGACGGUCUUGCUUUAACUUAUCGAUGGAUCCGCGCUGCAUUAGCUAGUUGGUAAGGUAACGGCUUACCAAGGCAACGAUGCAUAGCCGACCUGAGAGGGUGAUCGGCCACACUGGAACUGAGACACGGUCCAGACUCCUACGGGAGGCAGCAGUAGGGAAUCUUCCGCAAUGGGCGAAAGCCUGACGGAGCAACGCCGCGUGAGUGAUGAAGGUCUUCGGAUCGUAAAACUCUGUUAUUAGGGAAGAACAUAUGUGUAAGUAACUGUGCACAUCUUGACGGUACCUAAUCAGAAAGCCACGGCUAACUACGUG